GUCAAGGUGGUGGAGUGGUUAACACGUUCGCCUGCUAUCCUCUCAAGAUGCAGCAUCAGCGGAUGCCUUCGGGCGCGCAGGUUCGAAUCCUGUCCUUGACG